UUCUAUUCCUCUGUCAAACAGCUCAUGUCUCUCAGCUCCUGAGAACAGAGCUCACAUUCUUGCAAAUAAGCACAUCUACAACACUAAGAUUUGGAAGCAAGCAGACAGAAAGAAGCGGCCUCUUUUCCCUCGCUGGCUGCUUGGUGCCUUAUGCCAGCCUGCUCUGUGAUGACCUUCUGCCAUGCCCCCUGUUUGGAGACUGCCAGCUAUGGAGUGAAACCUCUA